GGAGGAUCAGCUCUGCCAGGAGUAAACUUCCUCUCUCAGCUCCAACCCUGUCAUUGUCCUGAGACUGCUCUUCUGGCUCCAAUCCCUGGAGAGUCACACACGGAGAGACGCAAAGAGCUCAGGUAUGGGUUCUUGCCUGCAUUUAUGUCUGAGCACUGGUGCCUACGGAGGCCCAAAGAAGGUGCCAUAUUCCCUGGAACUGGAAUUAUACAUGGUUGACAAUUAGUGAAAACAAGAGG